GAUGAAGAACGCAGCGAAAUGCGAUAAGUAAUGUGAAUUGCAGAAUUCAGUGAAUCAUCGAAUCUUUGAACGCACCUUGCGCUCCUUGGUAUUCCGAGGAGCAUGCCUGUUUGAGUGUCAUUAAUAUAUCAACCUUCUCUUUUUUGAGUUGUUUGGAUGUGGGGGUUUGCUGGCCUCUUAAAUGAUUCAGCUCCCCUGAAAUGCAUUAGCAGAACAACCUGUUCAUUGGCGUGAUAAUUAUCUAUGCUAUUGAAUGUGAGGGCAGUUCAGCUUUCUAACCGUCCUUGGACAAUUCAUCAUUAAUGUGACCUCAAAUCAGGUAGGACUGCCCGCUGAACUUAAGCAUAUCAAUAAGCGGAGGA
rnacentral:misc_RNA from 1 species